rnacentral:rRNA from 1 species
UGGAGGUAUCAGAAGUGCGAAUGCUGACAUAAGUAACGAUAAAGCGGGUGAAAAGCCCGCUCGCCGGAAGACCAAGGGUUCCUGUCCAACGUUAAUCGGGGCAGGGGGAGUCGACCCCUAAGGCGAGGCCGAAAGGCGUAGUCGAUGGGAAACAGGUUAAUAUUCCUGUACUUGGUGUUACUGCGAAGGGGGGACGGAGAAGGCUAUGUUGGCCGGGCGACGGUUGUCCCGGUUUAAGCGUGUAGGCUGGUUUUCCAGGCAAAUCCGGAAAAUCAAGGCUGAGGCGUGAUGACGAGGCACUACGGUGCUGAAGCAACAAAUGCCCUGCUUCCAGGAAAAGCCUCUAAGCAUCAGGUAACAUCAAAUCGUACCCCAAACCGACACAGGUGGUCAGGUAGAGAAUACCAAGGCGCUUGAGAGAACUCGGGUGAAGGAACUAGGCAAAAUGGUGCCGUAACUUCGGGAGAAGGCACGCUGAUAU